rnacentral:rRNA from 1 species
UACGUAGGUGGCAAGCGUUGUCCGGAUUUACUGGGCGUAAAGGGCGUGCAGGCGGUCUGUUAAGUGCAGGGUGAAAGCUCCCGGCUCAACUGGGAGAGGUCCUUGCAUACUGGCGGACUUGAGGGGGGUAGAGGAAAGUGGAAUUCCCGGUGUAGUGGUGAUAUGCGUAGAUAUCGGGAGGAACACCUGUGGCGAAGGCGGCUUUCUGGGCCCUACCUGACGCUGAGACGCGAAAGCGUGGGGGAGCGAACCGG